GCAGUGCAGUCUGGCCUUGCAGAGGAAUGAAGGAGGGGCUCCACAGGUCCGCACAGAAGUCAGCACCUGGGGCUGCCUGGACUCUCUCUCUCUUCUGUUCAUUAAGAAGCUCAACAAAGCAAUCAACAUCCACAGUCUCCAAGAGAGAGGCCGCUUGGGGGCGGCUCUGCUGCUGUUGCAUUGUUCUGCCCAGGGACACUGUUGCUUUGAAGACUUCUAAAUCAAGAGGACUGCGUGUGUCACAAAUGACAGAGUGACAGGCAGAGCCUUGUUUACUCACGGGUGGCAUGUAAGACUGUACAGGAGGACCAGGAGAAUUACUGUCUGUUUGAUGUCUAAGAUCUGUGCUUUCUUAGGUUUCUUUUGCCUCGGCUCCUGUUGAGUGUUUCCAUGUUGAGAUUCUCCCAUGAUGACAGGUUCAACAUCUCAAGGGUUCCAGAAGGAAGCUGAAGGGUCGGAGCCAGAGAAGAUGUGAGGACGCACUCAUGAGUUUUGAGUUUCUGCUUUGACUCAGGCCUGAGGUCAUAAGCCAAGAAUGUAGAUGGCCUUUAGGGACUAGAGAAGAAGGGAAGUAGCUUUUCCCCCAGGUAUUCCAAAGGAAGUGGAGCCUGGGAAAAGUCAGAUGUCCACACCCUGAGUCUCAUUUCCAUCUAU